CCAUGCUGAUGGACUGGAGAAUUGG
rnacentral:piRNA from 1 species